GAUGAAGAACGUAGCGAAAUGCGAUAGGUAAUGUGAAUUGCAGAAUUCAGUGAAUCAUCGAAUCUUUGAACGCACAUUGCGCCCUUUGGUAUUCCUUAGGGCAUGCCUGUUCGAGCGUCACUACACACCUUAUCACAAUAUUUGUGGUCUUGGCAGGAGUGAAUUGCUGGUCUAUGGAAGUAUUCCAGCAGUACACAAUGCUAAAAAAUAUGGGAAGGUUACCAGAUAUGAACAACAGACUUUGUAAAUGGUUGUAGGACCUAGAUCAGUCACAAGACAUGUCUGGUCCCUUACCUUAAGGACCCCCAUCCUAGAUGAACUAUGGGUUGACCUCGGAUCAGGUAGGAAUACCCGCUGAACUUAAGCAUAUCAAUAAGCGGAGGA
rnacentral:misc_RNA from 1 species